rnacentral:rRNA from 1 species
UACAGAGGGUGCGAGCGUUUAAUCGGAGUUACUGGGCGUAAAGGGCGCGUAGGCGGUUAUAUAAGUGAGAUGUGAAAUCCCUGGGCUUAACCUAGGAACUGCAUCUCAUACUGUAUGACUGGAGUAUUGUAGAGGGUAGUGGAAUUUCCGGUGUAGCGGUGAAAUGCGUAGAGAUCGGAAGGAACACCAGUGGCGAAGGCGGCUACCUGGACAAAUACUGACGCUGAGGCGCGAGAGCGUGGGGAGCAAACAGG